rnacentral:lncRNA from 1 species
CUCAUUCAUUCCCAUUCGCAUUCGUGGCGAGGCAUCGCGAGCGGCAGCAGCAAAUCAUCAGAACAGCGGCGCAGUUCACCUUUUUGGCAAGUCAUUGCGAAAGUGACCCAGUUCUGCAUCUGGCCAGCAUCAGCCGCAUCUCAUCCGAGCAUCCCACUGCAUCCUACCUAAGAUACCCGAAACAUAAGCAUCCACAGUUCAUUGAUAGCGCGUGCUGGCAGCUACUUCCUGGUAUCCUGGCAAUUUAUCCACGUUUAUGGUCCCGGAUAAAACGCAUUCUAAUUUCGGGCCAUAAACCAUAGACGCCUUUCCUAUUCCGCUUAACCCUUUCGCUUGGCCAAGUGUAUCUGCGAGUGCCUGUGUGUGUGUGUCCGUGUGCGAGUGUGUGCCAAUCCGUGAGAGUGUAUGUGUGUGAGCCAGGCUCAUUAUUGCGUGUCAUAAAAGGACGAUUGUCUCGUUUCUCAAUGAAUGUUUUGCUCAAUUAAGAUCUACCUGAGCGGGAGGAAAAGCGGGGAAUUUCCGCAUUACUUUUCCAUUUGUCAAUGCAGCAGUUCUUUCUCCUCUCACUUUUUUGUAGCCUUCAUCUAGGCGCUGAGACAUUGAAUUUUUGAAAUUAUCAAUGAAAUGUAAUGAAACAUUUCGCUUGUGGGAGAAAUCACAUUUUUAUGAUCGCCCCAUUUCCGAGUAAUUAUAAUGACUAAUGACUUAUGUCAUAUAGAGCCGUUUCCCCUUCACAAAAGCACUACUGAGUAAUAUUUUUAUCAUAUUCAAGAUUAUCUUCAAAUUGUUUGAAUAAUUGUUUACAAUAACCAUGGGUUAGAUAAGAUUGAGAGAUAAGCGAAACUGAAUCAGGAAAAAAUCUUUCGCUCAACAAUGGUAUUCAUAAUAUUUAACCUGUUUAACAUUGUUUGGCUUGCCACUCGGAUAUCUAUAUCCCAUCGUGAUGAUCAUUAAACAUCAAACACUUUCGGUGACUGAGCACAUAUGUACUCAAAUCCUUAUGUGCACUUCUAAUAACCGUAAUGUGCUUAAAUAUUUAAUAUUUUUAUUGUAUUUCACAGGCAAUUCAAGUGGCUUUGGCUCAUUAAUGUUUGCCGUGUGGGCGUUGGGUUGGUAGGUAUUUUUGUUGUUCAGAGCGCAUCAAAUGUGUGCUUUUUUGGCGUAGACUCUCUGCAAAUAGUAAUGCCAGGCAGUCCAAAAAUGUGUACUUAUUUACCUUUAGUCAUUUAUCUAUUUAUUUAUUUGCUUUAAAAGCGCGCCACUGUAGGUCGGAUUCACAUGGCGAUUUACAUUGCGAUUCGGAUUCAGAUUGGCUGCCUUUUUGAUACAGUCGGAUGUAUUCGGCUCUAAGCCAUGGUCAAACUUUUUAAUUAGUUUCAAUUGUUGGCGCCCAACGCAUCCCCAAAUGGUUAUUUAUGGAAAAUAUUUGCUUUACUACUUUUUUGCCGCUUUGUUUUGAUUUUCGUUGAUAUGGCUUUAAAAUGCUGCGCUUUCUGUUUGUUUUAAGCAUUUAUGUGACGCAUGCGCCGUGUGGCAAUGACUUUACAAAAUCAUAUACAUAUAUAUCAACCGGAGAAUUUGACCAACAUUUCUCAGAUAGAUGACGUCCGCAGCUGUAUCUGUUUCUAUAUCUAUAUCGGCGUGGUGGCAUAAUACGAAUAAUAUUUAUUUUUAUUGUUAUUAUUGGUUAUUGUUGAUUUAUUUGUUUGAACAAUAUUUUCGCACAAAUUAAAAUGCCCGGCCACCAUGGGACAUCGGACGAUGGACAUCCAUAUCAAUGUCGUUUAAACGGUUUUCGUUGUCUUAUUUGCUUUGUAUUUUUUGGCUUAACCCAAUUAUCGGGGCUCAUUUGUGAUUAUUUAACCAUUUGCAACAGCAGCAACAGAUGAUCGCAAAGUUCUAAUAUGCAGCGCAAACAAUUCGAGAUCUUGCAGUGUUUCAUAAAGUUUACUUAACGAUUCUGCUUGGGAUAAUUAAAUGGAUAUACUGUAUAGAGAAUCUUGGGAGUGUAUGCAAAUUAAAGAAGGGGUUGUCGCCAAUUAAAAAAAAUAUAUAUAUUUUGUUUAUGUCACUCAAUUCU